rnacentral:lncRNA from 1 species
CUCAGCCUCUACAAUUUUGUGAGUAAAACAAAACAUCAAAAGUGAUAACGAAUAUUUGACAACGUUUUUAACAGGAGCGGAAAAAACUGUGUGUAUACUGCAGUAAAUAUUUUGGCUUUUUCCAUCACUAGCGGUUGAGGAAAGGUCCUGUAACAACUUAUCUUGUGGCCACCUAACAACACAGGUCAACUUCUUGAAGACACAGUUAUCCUAGAACCUACUAGCACCUAGUCCAGGAGCUAGUAACCAGCUAGUAGCUAGCAUCUAGUAGUAACCAGAGUAACCAUGAUUAGACCACCCACAUACGAGACCGUUAGCAAGAAGAAGAAGUCAUGAUUAAAAAUAUAACCUCUAUUUUUAUGUAUGCUAUAUAUCCUAUUCGUUAUAAGUCAAAAUAUAGCUAUACGAGGGUAUUAACUAUUAACAGAGUGAAUACAGGGUAUGUUUACUGUACUUAGUUAAUUCUACAGGUAGAUUUACAAGAAGUAGGUAUAAACACUUCAUGGUAUAAAUUGUUCAUUUUAUAUUUGAUAAUAAUAAUAUUAAUAUAGUAUGGUACGGUACAUACCUGAUUCUUGCUUAACGUAGGUACAUUUGACUACCUAUUCAGGAUGUAUUUUAUAUUUAUAUUGUCCAUAUUGCAGGGUAUUAACGGUGUAUAUGUAUGUGAUAAAUUAGGGUUUUUUGUCUUAAGAGGAAACAGUAGCAAUCAACAGGAAGCAAAAACGCGUUCGAAGAUUGCGGCUGUAAUUUUCAAUAUUUUUUAGAGAUAUUUGGCACACGUAUUCGCAAUAUAAUAAAGAA